rnacentral:rRNA from 1 species
CAGUCGCCACGGUAAUACGGAGGGUGUAAGCGUUAAUCGGAAUUACUGGGCGUAAAGCGCACGCAGGCGGUCUGACAAGUCAGAUGUGAAAUCCCCGGGCUUAACCUGGGAACUGCAUUUGAAACUGUCAGGCUGGAGUCUUGUAGAGGGGGGUGGAAUUCCAGGUGUAGCGGUGAAAUGCGUAGAGAUCUGGAGGAAUACCGGUGGCGAAGGCGGCCCCCUGGACAAAGACUGACGCUCAGGUGCGAAAGCGUGGGGAGCAAACAGGAUUAGAUACCCGUGUAGUCCCUGUCUCUUAUAC